UGGAAUUUUUCUGCAAAGUGUCAAUGGGAGAUUGUCAGAGCUGGCUUGAGAACUUCUUGCUGAACAGGAAGGAAAUGCUGGAGACCACAGAAUCACGCUCUUCCUGUUUUGCCUGCACUCUGUCUUGGAUCCUGCAGAACCAAUCUAGACUGCUGUGACCCAUCUCACCCACCACCUGGUCCCUCUUCUCGUCUUGGACAGCGAGAGUAUCAUCUAUCUGGACAACCUGGCUCCCCUAUCUGGCAGAUCGUUCCCUGGGGUAGGACAUAUCCUCCCUCCCUGCUACCUGAGAGCCUGUCACAGUGACCAGCAUGGAAUGGGAGGCAGUUGUAUGCCUGGCCACAUUGCCCGACAGCAGAAAGUGGAAGCUUUCUGGAUUCAGGAAUCUGUAUAUUGGCCAUAACUGUUUUGCUUGCGUUUCAGCACCACCGGCCAUGACCCUAGAAGCAUCACGCUCUAAAGUGACAGUCCUCAGGCCCAGGCUCUCGACCCUCCUGCUCCUCAUUGGCUUAGUUCUGCUUUGGCCUGUGUUGACUCUAGCUUGAUCCACACAGAUAAUGUAAGUUACAGCAUGGAGUUUGGAAGAGCCUGAGUGAUAUGGGAUAAAGAUGAAGGCUAACACACGAGAUUCUUCUUGAAAGCCACGUUUGCACAGAUCAUAGAGAUUGUGGGACACUGCUGAGUCAUCUCCACGCAACCAGACAACACAGCGUGUGCAGAACUUGGGGUGGGGGCAGACUUUCUUUCUUGGCUGGCUUGCUUUCUUUCCCUUGUUUCAUUCCACCUUUCUUUGCAAAUUUAUGUACUUGAAUAUUAAGCAGUGAGAGAGGUGAGAGAGAGGGAAGAGAGAAGAGGAGAUGAGAAAGAAGCAGAGAAACAGAGAGCUCUUUCAUCUGCUGAUUCAGUGGAUGCAACACCUGCAUCUGGACCAGACCCACACCAGCAGUAGGAACUCCAUUGGAGUCUACCAUGUAGGUGGCGCCUACUUGAGCCUUCCUCCACUACCUUCCCAGUUGUGGAGCACCUAGACUUGAACUUGCACUCACACAUGUGAUGGCAAUGCAAUAAGCAGUGGCUUAACCCACUGCACCACAAAGCCAGCCCCAAGAAAGCAAUUUUCCUUUGACGUGCUAGGAUCAGGAUUAAUACAGAAUUAUUCAGAAGUAUUAGAUAAUGUAUUAUAAGAGAAUAAUCAGAUAGCUAGUGAGGAAGAUUCAGAGAUUGCUUAUAGAGAGAUCUGUUAGUAAAUGAAGCUGCUGCAGGUGAAUAUUUAUAUACUGAUUUAUGUAUUUAUAUGAUAAAGUAAUUAUAUAACUUUUUAACUUAAUUUAUUCUUUUUAGAAAGACAGAUUGACAGAGAGUACGAUCUUCCAUCUGCUGGUGAAGAACCUAGGUGUUUUCUGCUUUUGUGAUUUCUGCCUUACUUGCUUGGGUGGGUACUGAAUGAAUGCCAGGCCUGGCAGUCUACAUGAAACCAGCAGGACAUUCC